AGAGUUUGAUCCUGGCUCAGGAUGACGCUGGCGGCGUGCCUACACAUGCAAGUCGAGCGAUCUCUUCGGAGAGAGCGGCGGACGGGUGAGUAACGCGUGGGUAACUGCCCUGUACACACGGAUAACAUACCGAAAGGUAUACUAAUACGGGAUAACAUACUGAAAGUCGCAUGGCUUUUGUAUCAAAGCUCCGGCGGUACAGGAUGGACCCGCGUCUGAUUAGCUAGUUGGUAAGGUAAUGGCUUACCAAGGCAACGAUCAGUAGCCGACCUGAGAGGGUGAUCGGCCACACUGGAACUGAGACACGGUCCAGACUCCUACGGGAGGCAGCAGUGGGGAAUAUUGCACAAUGGGCGAAAGCCUGAUGCAGCAACGCCGCGUGAGCGAUGAAGGCCUUCGGGUCGUAAAGCUCUGUCCUCAAGGAAGAUAAUGACGGUACUUGAGGAGGAAGCCCCGGCUAACUACGUGCCAGCAGCCGCGGUAAUACGUAGGGGGCUAGCGUUAUCCGGAAUUACUGGGCGUAAAGGGUGCGUAGGUGGUUUUUUAAGUCAGAAGUGAAAGGCUACGGCUCAACCGUAGUAAGCUUUUGAAACUAGAGAACUUGAGUGCAGGAGAGGAGAGUAGAAUUCCUAGUGUAGCGGUGAAAUGCGUAGAUAUUAGGAGGAAUACCAGUAGCGAAGGCGGCUCUCUGGACUGUAACUGACACUGAGGCACGAAAGCGUGGGGAGCAAACAAGAUAGAUACCCUGGUAGUCCACGCCGUAACGAUGAGUACUAGGUGUCGGGGGUACCCCCCUCGGUGCCGCAGCUACGCAUUAAGUACUCCGCCUGGGAAGUACGCUCGCAAGAGUGAAACUCAAAGGAAUUGACGGGGACCCGCACAAGUAGCGGAGCAUGUGGUUUAUUCGAAGCAACGCGAAGACCCUACCUAAGCUUGACAUCCCACUGACCUCUCCCUAAUCGGAGAUUUCCCUUCGGGGACAGUGGUGACAGGUGGUGCAUGGUUGUCGUCAGCUCGUGUCGUGAGAUGUGGUUGGUUAAGUCCCGAACGAGCGCACCCUUGUCUUAGUUGCACGCAUUAAGUUGGGCACUCUAGAGGGACUGCCGAGGAUAACUCGGAGGAAGGUGGGGAUGACGUCAAAUCAUCAUGCCCCUUAUGCUUAGGGCUACACACGUGCUACAAUGGGUGGUACAGAGGGUUGCCAAGCCGCGAGGUGGAGCUAAUCCCUUAAAGCCAUUCUCAGUUCGGAUUGUAGGCUGAAACUCGCCUACAUGAAGCUGGAGUUACUAGUAAUCGCAGAUCAGAAUGCUGCGGUGAAUGCGUUCCCGGGUCUUGUACACACCGCCGUCACACCAUGGAAGUUGGGGGCGCCCGAGCCGGUUAGCUACCUUUUAGGAAGCGGCCGUCGAAGUGAACAAUGACUGGGUGAAGUCGUAACAAGGUAACC
rnacentral:rRNA from 2 species